UACAGAGGGGGCGAGCGUUGUUCGGAAUUACUGGGCGUAAAGGGCGCGUAGGCGGCCUUCUAAGUCGAACGUGAAAUCCCCGGGCUCAACCCGGGAACUGCGUCCGAUACUGGGAGGCUUGAAUCCGGGAGAGGGAUGUGGAAUUCCAGGUGUAGCGGUGAAAUGCGUAGAUAUCUGGAGGAACACCGGUGGCGAAGGCGGCAUCCUGGACCAAUAUUGACGCUGAGGAGCGAAAGCCAGGGGAGCAAA
rnacentral:rRNA from 1 species